rnacentral:rRNA from 1 species
UACGGGGGGGGCAAGCGUUGUUCGGAAUUACUGGGCGUAAAGGGCUCGUAGGCGGCCAACUAAGUCAGACGUGAAAUCCCUCGGCUUAACCGGGGAACUGCGUCUGAUACUGGAUGGCUUGAAUCCGGGAGAGGGAUGCGGAAUUCCAGGUGUAGCGGUGAAAUGCGUAGAUAUCUGGAGGAACACCGGUGGCGAAGGCGGCACCCUGGACCGUCAUUGACGCUGAGGAGCGAAAGCCAGGGGAGCAAACGGG